AACACAUGCAAGUCGAACGGGCGUAGCAAUACGUCAGUGGCAGACGGGUGAGUAACACGUGGGAACGUACCUCUUGGUUCGGAACAACACAGGGAAACUUGUGCUGAUACCGGAUAAGCCCUUACGGGGAAAGAUUUAUCGCCGAGAGAUCGGCCCGCGUCUGAUUAGCUAGUUGGUAGGGUAAUGGCCUACCAAGGCGACGAUCAGUAGCUGGUCUGAGAGGAUGAUCAGCCACAUUGGGACUGAGACACGGCCCAAACUCCUACGGGAGGCAGCAGUGGGGAAUAUUGGACAAUGGGGGCAACCCUGAUCCAGCCAUGCCGCGUGAGUGAUGAAGGCCCUAGGGUUGUAAAGCUCUUUUGUGCGGGAAGAUAAUGACGGUACCGCAAGAAUAAGCCCCGGCUAACUUCGUGCCAGCCGCCGCGGUAAUUC
rnacentral:rRNA from 1 species